rnacentral:rRNA from 1 species
AAAGGGCACUCUAAUGAGACUGCCGGUGACAAACCGGAGGAAGGUGGGGAUGACGUCAAGUCCUCAUCGGCCCUUAUAGGGUGGGCUACACACGUCAUACAAUGGCUGGUAACGAAAGGGUUGCCCAACCCGCGAGGGGGAGCCAAUCCCAUAAAGCCAGUCGUAGUCCGGAUCGCAGUCUGCAACUCGACUGCGUGAAGUCGGAAUCGCUAGUAAUCGUGGAUCAGCAUGUCACGGUGAAUACGUUCCCGGGUCUU